AAAAUACCAAUAGAAAAUGAGACUGUGAUUAUAUGAUGAAUAUUAAU
rnacentral:guide_RNA from 1 species